UACAGAGGUCCCAAGCGUUGUUCGGAUUCACUGGGCGUAAAGGGUGCGUAGGUGGUUGGGAAAGUUUGAUGUGAAAGCUCGGAGCUUAACUCCGAAAUGGCAUUGAAUACUUCUUAACUUGAGUGUCGGAGGGGAGACUGGAAUUCUCGGUGUAGCAGUGAAAUGCGUAGAUAUCGAGAGGAACACCAGUGGCGAAGGCGAGUCUCUGGACGACUCCUGACACUGAGGCACGAAGGCCAGGGGAGCAAACGGG
rnacentral:rRNA from 1 species